rnacentral:rRNA from 1 species
GGGGAAUAUUGGACAAUGGGCGCAAGCCUGAUGCAGCCAUGCCGCGUGGGUGAAGAAGGCCCUCGGGUUGUAAACUUCUUUUAUCAGGGACGAAACAAAUGACGGUACCUGAUGAAUAAGCCACGGCUAACUACGUGCCAGCAGCCGCGGUAAUACGUAGGUGGCAAGCGUUAUCCGGAUUUACUGGGUGUAAAGGGCGUGUAGGCGGGACUGCAAGUCAGAUGUGAAAACUAUGGGCUCAACCCAUAGCCUGCAUUUGAAACUGUGGUUCUUGAGUGAUGGAGAGGCAGGCGGAAUUCCGUGUGUAGCGGUGAAAUGCGUAGAUAUACGGAGGAACACCAGUGGCGAAGGCGGCCUGCUGGACAUUAACUGACGCUGAGGCGCGAAAGCGUGGGGAGCAAACA